CCUACGGGUGGCUGCAGUGGGGAAUAUUGGACAAUGGGGGGAACCCUGAUCCAGCCAUGCCGCGUGUGUGAAGAAGGCCCUCGGGUUGUAAAGCACUUUCAGUGAGGAAGAACGCCUGGUGGUUAAUACCCAUCAGGAAAGACAUCACUCACAGAAGAAGCACCGGCUAACUCCGUGCCAGCAGCCGCGGUAAUACGGAGGGUGCGAGCGUUAAUCGGAAUUACUGGGCGUAAAGCGCGCGUAGGUGGCUUGAUAAGCCGGUUGUGAAAGCCCCGGGCUCAACCUGGGUACGGCAUCCGGAACUGUCAAGCUAGAGUGCAGGAGAGGAAGGUAGAAUUCCCGGUGUAGCGGUGAAAUGCGUAGAGAUCGGGAGGAAUACCAGUGGCGAAGGCGGCCUUCUGGACUGACACUGACACUGAGGUGCGAAAGCGUGGGUAGCAAACAGGAUUAGAUACCCUGGUAGUC
rnacentral:rRNA from 1 species